GGAAGGAUCAUUGCAAAUCACGAGGAAGUGGGGGUGAAGUGGGGAAAAGGGGUUUAAGAGUAAAUCUUGAACGUCUUGCUUGCUUCUAUCUCACUUCCACAUAUGCACAGCGUGCUUGGAUCCAAGAGGGUUUGGCUGCAAACGUCAUAGUUGGCACUUUUCUCUCUUGUCCCUGUCGCUGAUGUUUACGCUUGUUUGUUUGACAAAUCUAUUACAUUUAAAUAUUGAAAACUUUUAACAACGGAUCUCUUGGCUCUUGCAUCGAUGAAGAACGCAGCAAAAUGCGAUACGUAGUGCGAUCUGCAUGAACCUGUGAGUCAUCUAAUUUUUUGAACGCAACUUGCGCCGAGCAAUCGGCAUGUCUGUCUGAGUGUGUAACUAUCUAUACGAUUUUCGUGAUGUGGUGCGAGUGUUGGAGUGGGUGGGGGUAGUAUUAUAUUCCCGGGGGAUAGCAAUGUCUUUUGUGAUUGUAGGAUAUUCUCAAUACAACCCGCACUGCACUGAAUGAUAGCUAGAAGACGCAAAGAAUGUCUAGUUCAGGUGCCAAGCAUCCCAGAACAAAGCAUGCUCUGCAUUCAAAUUCUUAUUCCGCACCUCAGAUCAGUCAAGAUCACCCGCUGAACUUAAGCAUAUCAGUAAGCGGAGGAACAGAAACUAACAAGGAUUCCCCUAGUAACGGCGAGUGAAGCGGGACCAGCUCAAAUUUUAAAUCUCGGACAGCAAUGUCUGCGAAUUGUAUUCUAUAGAACGGGUGUUACCGGUGGGACGCAAUUGCAAGUUGCCUGGAAUGGCGCGCCAGAGAGGGUGAGAGCCCCGUAGCGAUUGCUGAACAUUUCUGCACAUCCGUUCAACGAGUCGAGUUGUCUGGGAAUGCAGCUCAAAGUGGGUGGUAAAUCUCAUCCAAAGCUAAAUAUUGGCAAGAGACCGAUAGCGAACAAGUACCGUGAGGGAAAGAUGAAAGCACCUUGAAAAGGGAGUUAAACAGUGCGUGAAAUUGUUAAAAGGGAAACGAUAGCGGUCAGUGUUUGGUGUGGUCCUGCGAGUGCGGCUUUGGUCGUGCUCAAUGUCCACGCCAGAGUCAACGCUGGUUAUGUUGGUCGGAUACGUCCAGGAAAAAGGUGGACACUUUCGAGUGUCUUUAUAGUUUCUUGGUACUGCGAUCGGUGUGACCAGAUGGUGCAGGGCAACGUUUUUGGCGAGUUUGUCUGUGUAUGUGAUUGUUCAGCACGCUGAUCAGUUCGUCCGCUUUCAAUCUCCCGAUCUCAGGCUUUGCCGUUGACAAAAUGACCUUUAACGACCCGUCUUGAAACACGGACCAAGGAGUCUAACAUGUGUGCGAGCAUUAGAGUGGCAAACUCUAGUGCGCAGUGAAAUCAAUAACCUGUGAUUUGUGACUCGUUUACAAAGCAACAGGGACAGAGCAGUGGUUCAACUACUGAUUCCUCGUAAGAGCUCAUCUGUUGGGACCCGAAAGGCGGUGAACUAUGCCUGACUAGGGCAAAGCCAGAGGAAACUCUGGUGGAGGCUCGUAGCCGUUCUGACGUGCAAAUCGAUGGUAAAAGUUGGGUAUAGGGGCGAAAGACUAUCGAACCGCUUAGUAGCUGGUUCCCUC
rnacentral:misc_RNA from 1 species